AUUAGUCUUAUGCAAACAGUGUUGCGUGUCUACUAGUAUCUCUGUUAGACUAAUAGGUCCUAUUGGUCUUAUGCAGAUUGUUGCUGGUCUGAUACAACAUGUAUUGCUGGAUUCCACAGCUCGUGUUUGCUGGUGAAAGUUGAUGAAAAAAAUAGACUAGCGGACCCCUUGCUUGCAUGGAGAGGUGUUUCUAUUUAAUCACUGAAUAAUUAAAAAUCAGGCCUGCUGUACAAAUGUGCAGCAGACUGCGUUCGCACGUUUGCAUUAGUUUCAGCGCACUAAGCUAGCGAAACUGGCCAUCUCUCGGCGACAUACACAAAAGCGACGUGCGGCAACAUGGUCUUGCCAAUUUUGCUUCACUGAACCUCAUCGCGAUGAGUCGUUGAGGAAACAGCUAGUGUUUACAGCACAGCGAAUACUUCCCCAUGAAAAAAAAAAAAGAAAAAAAAAAAAAAGAAACGAAUUACCAGCUGUAAUCUGCAAGGCAGAAGCGCUGCCCGGUCAGCUUACGAAUGACGGUGCAACCAUAAUUGUUUGCGGCUGAAGUUUCGUUAGUGUCGUAUUUUCUGUUGAAGUGCGCAAAAAGUAAAUGUAAAAACUUUUAACCUAAAUUACUGACUUGAUAUCGCAUAUAAAAGGCCGUAAUAUUUAUUGACAUCAAAGAGCAAUAUCGCAGAGAAGGGAACACGGCGGUUGGGAAGGAUAUAAAACUGCGACCGUAGUCAGCCGUAGUUACGCACAGCACGUGUGCAAUGGCGGCCGCCAUGUCAAGGCAAGGCGUCACGCGAGGCGUGCGUGUUAGUGAAUGAACGAUGUGUUUUUAAGGAACCCGUGGUGUUAGCGCCUGUGCAAUCUUAUUCGUGCAGUAAUAUAUUUGGAUAGUUUUAUCUAUGGAUGCUGUUAAUACUUCAAAACAACGCAAGGCAACUGUUUUACCCCUGUCCUUCGCGGCUUUGUGGAUCUAUCAGCGUGCAUCGAUGUGCAGCGUUUUCCCCGGCGCCGAUUUGCCAUUUCGAGGUUUUUUUAACCACUUCAUCAAAAGGACGUCCUCUGGUCGAAGUCAACGAAAAGCUCUCUCAAUCAAGAUUGCUGACCUGACGAAGAUCUCGAAAGAGGAAUCUGUAAAAAGAUAUGCUGUGCUAAUAAAUGCUUCUAGAAAUUUUA